rnacentral:rRNA from 1 species
AGAGUUUGAUCCUGGCUCAGAUUGAACGCUGGCGGCAUGCUUUACACAUGCAAGUCGAACGGCAGCACGGGUGCUUGCACCUGGUGGCGAGUGGCGGACGGGUGAGUAAUACAUCGGAACGUGUCCUGAAGUGGGGGAUAACGCAUCGAAAGAUGUGCUAAUACCGCAUAUUCUCUGAGGAGAAAAGUAGGGGAUCGAAAGACCUUAUGCUUUUGGAGCGGCCGAUGUCUGAUUAGCUAGUUGGUAGGGUAAUGGCUUACCAAGGCGACGAUCAGUAGUUGGUCUGAGAGGACGGCCAGCCACACUGGGACUGAGACACGGCCCAGACUCCUACGGGAGGCAGCAGUGGGGAAUUUUGGACAAUGGGCGCAAGCCUGAUCCAGCAAUGCCGCGUGAGUGAAGAAGGCCUUCGGGUUGUAAAGCUCUUUCAGUUGAAGAGAAAAGGUUGUGACUAAUAAUCAUAGCUCAUGACGGUAUCAACAGAAGAAGCACCGGCUAACUACGUGCCAGCAGCCGCGGUAAUACGUAGGGUGCAAGCGUUAAUCGGAAUUACUGGGCGUAAAGGGUGCGCAGGCGGUUCUGUAAGUCAGAUGUGAAAUCCCCGGGCUUAACCUGGGAACUGCGUUUGAAACUGCAGAGCUAGAGUGCAGCAGAAGGAGGUGGAAUUCCAUGUGUAGCAGUGAAAUGCGUAAAGAUAUGGAAGAACAUCGAUGGCGAAGGCAACCUCCUGGGCUAC